rnacentral:tRNA from 1 species
GCAGGGGUGGCCAAGCCCGGUUAAGGCAGUCGGUUGCAGACCGGCGAUCGGGGGUUCAAAUCCCCCUCCCUGCU